ACGGAAGGCAGCAGUGGGGAAUAUUGCACAAUGGGGGAAACCCUGAUGCAGCGGCGCCGCGUGAGUGAAGAAGUAUUUCGGUAUGUAAAGCUCUAUCAGCAGGGAAGAAAAUGACGGUACCUGACUAAGAAGCCCCGGCUAACUACGUGCCAGCAGCCGCGGUAAUACGUAGGGGGCAAGCGUUAUCCGGAUUUACUGGGUGUAAAGGGUGCGUAGGCGGCACGGCAAGUCAGAAGUGAAAUCCCAGGGCGCAACCCUGGAACUGCUUUUGAAACUGUCGAGCUAGAGUACAGGAGAGGUAAGCGGAAUUCCGAGUGUAGCGGUGAAAUGCGUAGAUAUUAGGAGGAACACCAGUGGCGAAGGCGGCUUACUGGACUGACACUGACGCUGAGGCACGAAAGCGUGGGGAGCAAACAGGAUUAGAUACCCUGGUA
rnacentral:rRNA from 1 species